CCGUGCUAGCCGGGGAGUCAGCGGAUCCCUGUACUCGCAAUCCGCUACAGCGAGGGUGACGCCCGCCCUAGGCUCCUUUUCUGUGAAGUCUGUUCCCGAUAAGCGAUGUUGACGGCUGAGUCUCGCGCAAUAGAUGUUUGUGAACCGUGUUAGGUCCGGAAGGAAGCAGCACUAAACAAAAUAAUCUAUGUGCCGCGAGGGCGCUUGGUCUGAGUUGGCUGGCGGGGGUACGUUUGGAGCGAAAUGUCAACGGCGUGGCGCACGG
rnacentral:SRP_RNA from 1 species